UCGGCUCAUCUCGUUCUCCUCUUAUUCCUCUCCGGUGGUUAAGGCAGGUGUCGGGGCUGCGGACGCGACGGUUCAGCUUGGUGUGUGUGCCCCCAUCGGGGCGGCCUCCAGCGGAUCUGGGAUGGGGCAUGGCCACGCAGGGGCUCCUCCGGCCGCGGGUCGGGGCUGUGGACGCGGACUCGGCGGUUCAGCUUGGCGUGCGUGCCCCCAUCGCGGCGGCCUCCAGCGGACCUGGGAUGGGGCGCGACAACGCAGGGCCUCCUCCGGCCGCGGCUGACACUGUUGCAAAGGAUGGCCUCGACUGCGGCGUCCUCCUUCGACGGCGAGCUGGCACAGGUUCACCAGCCGUCCCCUCUAUCCGACUACUUCAUCUCUACCUUGGAUUUUGAUUUAUGGAUUUUCGUUUUUUUUUCUAUUUGGGAUUGAGAUUUGGAGGCUGAAGGAUUGAGUUCCAGUGAUUGCCUCACCUCGUCCCUCAUCUUUCUCUAGGCAGGAGCAAUCGAUUUCUACCUCAAAUAAGAUAUAGAUCCUAAUUCUUCUUUAUUACAGCAAACGGAUUGGCCUUGAAUUUGGAGUGCGGAAUGUGGAUUUAGCAGCCAUGUGUGUUAAUUUGUUGGUAGAAUUGGAUUGUAUGCCUAUGUGUGAAUGCUACUAUUAUUGAUUUAGCACCUUUUUUUUGGCAAAAAUUAAGUUAUUAGAUUAGUUUGCAUUUUUUUAUUCUGUUUCUAAAAUUUUUUGUACAUGUUUGUGCUCCGUUAGUCAUGUGCAUAGACAAGAGGAAGCUUAAUAAAAGGACAGGAAUUGCUCCAAUGCCCAUUGUUGUCGUUGCUUCAUGUGUGCCUUACUAUAUGGGGCCUUUGUUUAUUACUUGAUUAAUGAAAAACAAGAGAAAAUGUAUGAGAUGUGGGCCAAUGGAGGAGACGGAUAAAUCUAGGAUUGACUAGUGGGAAAUUUUUUUUGUAAGGAUGAUACACGAUGCAUUAAAAUAAUUAGAAUGAAGAGAGAACUUUUCUACAUAUAAGUGAUAUCUAGCACCUCUGGGAUUUUUCAGAAACAGAAUAAAAGAAAUAUUCACUAUAUCUUUCAUUGAUAUAUAUAUGAUAAUAAUGACGCUUAGAGGUGCAUCUUGCAUGCCUCUUGAUUUUAAUGCGUUUUAAUAGUAACCAUGCACUUUUCAGAUUGAAAUGGAGGCUAUUUCUGCUGGUACCAGUAGGCAGUAGCUUCCUACUCAAACAAGGAUUAACCUAGAUGAAUUUUCACACAAUAGAAGAGAUUAUGUUAUGUUUCUAAUUUUUCAGAGCAUGGUACGAGUGCUCCACAUUUUUUUUGUUGAUUUUGUUCUCCUAGAUGCAAGGACCGAGUACCAAUCAUAUCGCUUGCGAGGUUGUAGCGGUCUCUGAUAAGAUGAAAGAUGGUUAGGUUUCUUUCACAUUCUACAUUUUCUUUCUAAUAAUUUCAUUCCUUUGUUACUAUGUUCUAGAGUUGGGAAACAGCAUGCAUACUUCAAUAACCAUUUUUAUGUCAGCAGUUGACUUCACCAGAACAAGUUAAUAAGAAAAAUUCCAGAGUCUCUAUCUUCUGUAGGUAAGAUGGAGUAACACUUUUCACCAUUUUUUUGUCCUUUUUUUCCUCGCAGAUCGCUGUUCUUACAAAAGUGCCACAUGGCUGUUCAUACAAAUAGAUGUUCAUGUCAACUCUUUAUUUUACCGUUCUGUGUACAUUUGUUUUUUCUCCUAAUUUUUAUGCUAAACAAAAUCUGAACAAUCAUAAAAGCUCCAAAUAAGAGAGCACCAAAAUUGUCAGCAAAUAGACAAAAAAGAAGAAGUAUGGAAACUAAUAUAAUUUAUCUGUUGAAUGUCGUCUGGUGGAGAUUUGCAAUAUCUGGAGCAGAAUAGAGUUGUAAGCUUGUUCACUCAUAGGAGAAAUAGAAAGAGAAUCAUAUCUCAUGCAUGUAGGAGUAUUCAUUUCAUUUUCAGGUCAUCUAAUAUCCAGUAUACAAGUGGCUUUAUUAAUUUGGUUAUUUCCUGAAUCUUUGUCUUGCAUGAGUGCAAUUUGAGGCAUUAUGAUCCUUUCCCAGACUCCACCUUGCAUGGGAGUUUACAGCACUGGAUCAGUCAUUUAUAGAGCUCAAACAAACACUGGAUGAUUUCAAUUUCUUAUUACACAUAAUUUAAGCAAUUGUUAAGAAAGUUUACCUCUGAGAUGCUGCUAUGGAUAAGUUUGUCGCUUUUCCAUGCACCACUAUUUUUGUUUGAGUACUGUUUUUAGAGUUGCACUAUGGACAAGUUUGUCACUUCUCCAGGGACAACUGUUAUGUUAAUGCUAGUUGCUUGAGGUGACUUUCAGAGUAGCAGUGUUGCUCAUUGGCAGUAUUAAAUCUAUUGUUUUCCUCAGUACUACCAUUUUCACAUGGAUGCCACUUUGAGGUGAUUAAUUACUUCCUUUCUUUCCUUUUUUUGGCAUCUAUCUUAGGCCAUUAUCCAAAAGAGCUAAUGAAUUUGGCUGAAAAGUCAUUACAUUGGCUGCAAGAGGCUAUAAUUUGCAGGUACUUUGCAGAAUAAAUCUAAAGUUUCAUUUAUUUCUUUGUACUCUUGUGACCUACAAUUGCAUUUUUUUUUGCACAAAGAUAUCUUGUGAAACCUGUUUCUCACAUGUCAAGGACCUCCAACCAAAGUGAAUUGCAAGUUUAGAUUGUUACCACUAACAGAUUGUGGAUUGAACUUCUCUUUCGUUGUUCAUAGACAAAUAAGUUUGUAUAUGCUAAGCAUGAUUGUUGUCCAAUGGAGGCCUCCGGAGGCGCCGGUGCGUAGUGGGGUUCUAAAGCGAGAUGAUAAUGUGAAGAGAGGUAGAGGCCGACCUAAUUUGACCUGGGACGAGUCGGUUAAGAGAGACUUGAAGGAGUGGAAUAUCUCUAAGGAACUAACUAUGGAUAGGAGUGCUUGGAGACUAUCAAUAGACGUGCCUGAACCGUGACCCUUUUCUUCGUUUUGCUUAUCUCUUUCUCUACCUUUUGCCUUGUGUUCCUUUUGUGUCUCUGUUGGAGCUUUGGUGUUCCUUAUGGAUUUCAUCUCUAGCCUACCUCAACUUGCUUGGGAUAAAAGGCUAUGUUGUUGUUGUUGUUGUAUGCUAAGCAUGAUUGUUUCAGGAAAAAAAACUUCAGUCCUUGCCAUAUGCCCUCUCUAUUGUCUUCCUAUAGCGCCCAUGAAAGGCAAAUUGUAUGUAACCAUUUCAUCAAUAGAUACGUUCGAUUGUUCAAACCAUUCCAUGAUUUGUCUGGCCAUUCUUCUCACACAAUGCUUAUUAUUGUAGGUCCUUCAAGAGUAAGUGCAUCUUGAUUUGCUCUCCUUGCAUUGCUCCAUCUCCUUGCUGCAAAUUUCAUUGAUUCCCGUUCUACUUCAUUUCAUUAGUAUAUUUUUUUCUCUCCUUGCCAAACUGUAAUACAAGGGAAGUUUUGAAGACUAGAAGGGUCUACUCCACAUAUAUAUUAACUGUUUUAUAGGAUGUUGAUUGCGGAAAUAAUUACCUUUGACUCCCAAGCCUUCCAAAGAAGCUACAAAAAGGGCACAUCCUUACUAAACAAGAACCAUAGAGCUUUGGAAGUCAACUGCAGUGGCUGCAUGAACGUCCAUAUGGGUCACGAGUCCCUACCGUAUUCAUGGAACUUUGUCCUAUUGAGAAAUUGGUAAAUUCAGAAGGCUGUAUAUUGUCUGCCUUGCCUUUUAUGUAUCAGUUUACCAUGAUCUUCAUAUUUAUCGCUUUUGUAAUAACUUAAAAUGUUCUUCAUACAGCUUGCUCUGUUUUAUGAUCUUUCGUAUCAUUGCAAUGAGUUUUAACUGUUAGAUCACUUGUCUGUAUUUCCACUGUUGCAUGAGUGUUAAGAGGCCAAGAAUUGAGAAUUUCAUAAAUUAUUUGCUUAGUGCGUUUACAUCGGCAAUGUAAUGAGAAUUUUAUGUUGGUGGGUUGUUGUUAUAAUAUGAUCAUAAAGAUCGAUCAAGAAGCAAUCUUUGGAGAUCAAUGGGCACAUUAAGCCUUGUGAAGAUUGACAUAAUCUAUGAGUUUUGGAUUUGGCCAAGAAUCAUUUGCAGACAGUUUUGUAACCAUGAGAAGUUCCUCGGUUAUGUACCAACAGCUUAGUGAUUUGACUGCAUCAUUUUCUCGUUAAGCGUUAUAUAUAGUAUUGUGCUGCUA